GGGAAACUGCCUGAUGGAGGGGGAUAACUACUGGAAACGGCAGCUAAUACCGCAUAACGUCGCAAGACCAAAGAGGGGGACCUUCGGGCCUCUUGCCAUCGGAUGUGCCCAGAUGGCAUUAGCUAGUAGG
rnacentral:rRNA from 1 species